AUUGAACGCUGGCGGCAGGCCUAACACAUGCAAGUCGAGCGAGCGGCGGACGGGUGAGUAAUGUCUGGGGAUCUGCCUGAUGGAGGGGGAUAACUACUGGCAACGGUAGCUAAUACCGCAUACCAUCAGAUGUACCCAUAUGGGAUUAGCUUGUAGGUGGGGUAACGGCCUACCUAGGCGACGAUCCCUAGCUGGUCUGAGAGGAUGCUCAGACACACUGGGACUGAGACACGGCCCAGACUCCUACGGGAGGCAGCAGUGGGGAAUAUUGCACAAUGGGCGAAAGCCUGAUGCAGCCAGGCCGCGUGUAUGAAGAAGGCCUUCGGGUUGUAAAGUACUUUCAGUCGGGAGGCGUUACCAACAGAAGAAGCACCGGCUAACUCCGUGCCAGCAGCCGCGGUAAUAC
rnacentral:rRNA from 1 species